AAACGGUUGGGCUUUGGCUGGUCGCUAGGAGCUAGCCCACUCACCCCGUACAUGAACAGGUGCGAGCGGUUUUCACGGGCUCGGGCAGGUGUUCCUCUAUCCCGACCCUCCCCUCUCUGGCAAUGGGGAGGCGACGACAGCGGCGGCCCCGGAGGGACCAACCGGAGGCGAGGCCUACUCCCAUCUCUCGCGCGUGAAGUAGUCCACUUUGCGCCUCUGAUCGGUAGCGAACCGAGGCGACAUAGGCAGUGCAACGAUCCGACGCGAGCUGGGCGGCGACAAUGGCCUUCUCCGGCGUCGCCCUCCAUCGUCGGCUUUCUUCUCGCCGGUUGAUGGUGGAGACUGGCGCUCGGAGGUGGGAUCAAUUCAAGGAGGAGGUGGAUGUCAUGCUGUAGGAGGAGAAGAAGGCUGCGGAGAAGGAACAACAGUACAGUAUCUUCUUAGAUCCAGCCAAAGGCGAUGGCCCUGUUUCUACUCUGUUAUAGAUAAACUGUCCCUUUUUUUCUUCAUUGGAGCUCCACCGUUUUGAAAUAACUAGACUGUCACAUAGUAUUGAGAAAUACCAUGUUCAGCCAUUUACUUAGAAUGGAGUUGGGAUGCUGCUACUGUAUGACAAUGGUCAUCCCAUCAUUGUAAAUAUGCUCUAUUGCAGAAGGAACAUAAAGAACUAGGAAAGGGUAAAGUACAAGUAAAUGUGAAAAAACAAGCCUCGCAGCGAAAAAUCAUGCCCCAAAAAGAAGCACAAAACAUUCGUGCCCAAGUAACUGUAAUCUUAAUGCACAAUGUCACCGGCUUGUUGAUAGGGAGUGUAAUGUCUAGUUAGUUUUUGAGUUAGUUGAGCCACUGCCAUCUGGGGCAAUCAUAUUCUGAAUAUAUCGAGAUUUACACCUAUCGAUUAGCUAAUCUUACUAAAGAACACAAAUGUGCCUUUUCUAAAACUUGAAUCGUCCUGGUAAAAGUACGGAUUUUCACUUGACCUGUGGCUGUCUAUAUGUCGAAGGCUUCUGAAUUUCUCUAGGCGUAGAAUUGAACAAUAGUGAGACAUUGUAGGCGCAGGCCUGAAUAAUAGUGAGACAUGGUAUCAACUAGCGAAAAGUGCAAGAUGCAGGAUCAGCUUUUAUUCUUCCAGUUCAUGGUACAUUUGUUGGUCUUUGUCACCUCUUUGAAAGCACUGCAUACACCUGCAGUACAGUAAACUUUCUCAGGGUUGGUUCUCAUAUUUUCACACUGAGCUUAGGCUAACGCUGGAUGGCUAAGCACCUAUUUAUUUCUAGUUUUGAUCUGUUGAUACAUGGUGAAAUGAACAGAACGAUAUAGCUGGGCGUGCUCCUAUUUUAUGUCUAUGUAAAGAAGCAAUGCAAUCUAUAUUGGAUGCAAGUUUGGAAAUGUAUUAUUUGUACAUGCUCCUAUUUUAUGUUGGCCCCACAUCUCGUAACUCUCAAAUUUCUUACAUCGGCUGGCGAAUGUGGGCUAACUCCGAACUGCUAGAUUUUUAUAUGUGGUUGGUUGGACACCUUAUGUUGGCGGACACUGACCUUCUCCCAGCCUGUCAAUAUUCACGGAAGCUAAGUUUGAUUUAUUUCUAUUGCCAAGAGGUGGACACUGAUUCUCAUCCAGCCUGUCAAUCUUCACUAAUAUUUUGGUUUAACCUGCUCUCAAUGCAAGAGUAAUCAUGUAUAACAGGGAAAUGCGAUUUUUCCUUCAGGUUAUUGCUUGUUUGUUUUUUGUAGCAUACACCAGAUGGGAAUGUGCUAUUUUUGAUGAGUAAAUGCGAUUCUAACUGUGCUCCAUCAAUUUUUUUUCCGUAGCCAUGGAUACGUAAAGAAAAUCAGCACCAUUAUUUUUGUUUGAAAUUCUAUAUACUGUAAGACUUUGAUUUCGUUCACAUUUGACCUAUUUUCCUAUCUUGCAGAGCCAUCCAUUCAAAUAUGGUUAAUAUCUUCUACCCUGUAUUUACUGUACCACUAGAAUAGAGACGUGCAUUUAUUUUAGUCGAUCAAUUUUUCUGCUGUAGCAAUACUUUCUGUUGUCAUCCUGGUUGUGCUCCAAUUCACUAUUUCCAUGAAUUAAUGUUAGGUACUCCGUCAGCAUGUUCACAUUAUGUGCUAGCCUGCUUUUAAAGGUCUAUUCAAGUGGAUGACGACAACUGUAUGAGGGUAGAGAGGAAUGAGUUUUCUGGAACACGUCUUCGUAUUUUAGUGUAUGGUGGGUACAGGUAUUGUUUGGUUCAAAAUUUAGACCUUUUUACCAAUAAUUAGUAGCAAAAUUUAGGAUUGUUGAGAAGAGAGGUGAAGCUAAAGGCUUCAGUACUAUUCUUAGGAUACUAUAUGUUGCUUCCAGGCCAUGUAUAAGAAUUGUUCAGUUACUUGAGAGAUUGUUGAACAUAUGAAAUUGAUGGAAGUCUUUGGGCACCGUCAAGUUAAGUUGCUUGAAGACCAAGUUCAAAUAUGUGUGAGGGCAGUGCAGUUGGGCAUGCCAGUGUAGUAGAUCUGUUUUGAAAUAGUGCUUUCAGAAAUUUUCCUGCUGCUGGUCGCCAAAUGGCAUUCAAUUAUCUCCAAAUGAUUUUUUCUAUACUCAUAGGGAUAGUUUUAAUUACGUGAGACAUUUCCCAGAACCAUUAGUUAGUUUUGUACACUGAAUCUAUUUAUUAGACGGUUUUGUUAUUCCUAGGGCCAUGUUGAUCGUUCUUCCAUUUGUUAUAUAGCAUUAUUUUAGGGCCAUCGGGCUACCAUCCAUUCCAUGGGCUCGUGAUUUUACUGUGUUCGUGAUGAUACAUCUGUCCCUUUUAUGUUUGGUUCUUCAGAUAUUAAUGUUGUCAUCUCAAUCAGUGCUGAGCAUCGUUUAUGGGCUUUUGGAUUGUUAUCAUCACUGUAGUGCUGAUGUACCUCCCAAGAAGAAAUAUAAUGUGGUAGGCAGAGAUACCUCUUAUGGGAUGGUUUAGAUUGAGGCAAAGCAAAGCUUUCGCCUCCAAAUUUUUUUACGGACUUGUCCCUGUAUUACAAAAAAAGUUUCUAGCUGAUUACUGUGGAAAUACCUGAGACAAAUCAAACUUUUGGAAUGCAGUUCUAGGAUUCUGGAUAUGGCAUUUUCAAGGUUAUUUCGUACUAUAAGAAAAUUUUCGUUUGAUCUGCACAUCUCAAAGUAAAGUUAAGACCGCUCCGCAAUCUUUUUGUGUUUCUGGUCUAAGUCAACAAGAUAAUAUAGUACCUCGCCCAGAAAAAAGAUGAUCCAUUUGACAACUGUCGUGCAAAACAUUGGAGAAAAAAUUGCAAACAAGAACUACACUGAAGAACAAUUUAUAGGAACACAGUCACAUCCUACAAAAGAAGUCAGGCACGUCUCCUACUCAUCCUAAAAUUACAGCAACAUCAUUUUGUUUUUUAUAGUGUUAUUACUUUG